GCACGUUUAUCAAAUAAACCUGUAAGGGCAUGCAGUUAACACCUACAGCACCUUCCCAAGCCAAAGUACUUUCAAGGACUGGAGUGUCCCUUGGUGGAAUUUUUAAACUGCAAAGAUGAACCAUAAAUCUUAGUACAAUGUGACUAUAACGAACAAAUUGCACAAUUUCAAAAUACCUUUGCGAUGACCUAAGUGACUACGUAGCAUUCACAUAGCAUUCAAUUUACUGACAAAAAAAUGUGUCGAAAACAUAAAACUGAUCCUGGUUAAGCAUAUUUAGUAUAUGUCCU